rnacentral:rRNA from 1 species
UUACCUCAGGUCAGAGAAGACUACCCGCUGGACUUAAGCAUAUCAAUAAGCGGAGGAAAAGAAACUAACUAGGAUUCCCCCAGUAACUGCGAGUGAAGAGGGAAGAGCUCAUCAUUGGAAUCUGGCGGCGUUGCGCUGUCCGAGUUGUAGAUGAGGAGUAGUCCAUCUGGACUGCAUGGCGUCCAAGUACAAUAGGCCAUCAGUGGGACAUCAUAGAGGGUGACAAUCCCGUCCUUGAUGCCAAUGUGCAAGUCCGUUACGAUGGCUAUCUCAGAGAGUCGAGCAGUUUGGGAUUUGCUGCUUAAACAUGGGAGGUAGAUUCCUUCUAAAGCUAAAUACAGGCGAGAGACCGAUAGAGAACAAGUACCGCAAGGGAAAGAUGAAAUAGAACUCUGUGAAGGGAGUCAAAAGGCGUGAAAUUGUUGCGAGAGAAGCGAUUCAAGUCAGCGUAGCUAGGCCCAUCAAGCCUCUUCGCUUUGGACUAGCUUUGCCAGCGGUCUUGUCCCUUUAGAGACUUGACUUUUUUUGUAAUGUCCAGCCUGGUAUGCACAGGUAGCCCCUCCUCUCUUCUGAGGGGGGGGGCCAGUUGACAUGGCUGGUGGAAUGGCUUGCAAUCGACCCGUCUUGAAACACGGACCAAGGAGUCUAACAUGUAUGCGAGUAUAAGGGUGGCAAACCCGUAUGCGCAAUGAAAGUAACUUUCGAUGAUUGAGAAUGGCCUGAUGACCAGACAAGCAAUAUUAUGUCCCUCGUACGGCCAUUGCCCAAGUUCCGUGGUAGAUCCCAUGAACAUGGAGUUGGAGCAUACAUGCUAGGACCCGAAAGAUGGUGAACUAUGCCUGGACAAAGCGAAGCCAAAGGAAACUCUGGUGGAGGCUUGUAGCGAUUCUGACGUGCAAAUCGAUCGUCUGAUCUGGGUAUAGGGGCGAAAGACUAAUCGAACCAUCUCAUAGCUGGUUCCUGCCGAAGUUUCCCUCAGGA